rnacentral:rRNA from 1 species
AGCGAACGCUGGCGGCAGGCCUAAUACAUGCAAGUCGAACGAACCGUUCGGGGUUAGUGGCGGACGGGUGAGUCACCCGUGGGAUCGUGAAUUUAGGGUUGGAAUACCUAUGGGACACGUGUGACAUCAGCGAAUGUGCCCUUCGGGGGGAAGAUAUAUCGCCUUUAGUGCGGCCCGCGUCUGAUUAGCUAGUUGUUUAAGCUAAUGGUUCACCAGGGCGACAUUCAGUAGCUGGUCUGAGAGGAUGUUCAGACACAUUGGGACGGAGACACCGCCCAAACUCCUACGGGAGGCAGCAGUGGCGAACCUUGCACAGUGGGCGAAAGCCUGAAGCAGCCAUGCCGCGUGAAUUAUGAAAUUCUUAAGAUUGUAAAAUUCUUGCACCGGUGACGAUAAUGACGGUACCCGAAGAAGAAGCCCCGGCUAACUACGUG